ACCCAAUAGAUACCCGGGUAGUCCACGCCGUAAACGAUGGAUGCUAGCUGUGUGGAGUAUCGACCCUCUGCGUAGCAAAAAGCUAACGCGUUAAGCAUCCCGCCUGUGGAGUACGAGCGCAAGCUUAAAACAUAAAGGAAUUGACGGGGACCCGCACAAGCGGUGGAGCGUGUUGUUUAAUUCGAUGAUAAGCGAAGAACCUUACCCAGGUUUGACAUCCUGCUAAUCUUUCCGAAAGGAGAGAGUGCCUUCGGGCCGCAGUGACAGGUGCUGCAUGGCCGUCGAAAGCUCGUGUCGUGAGAUGUUUGGUUUAGUCCAUCAACGAGCGCAACCCCUGUAGUUAGUUGGAUUUUUCUAGCUAGACUGCCUCGGUAACGGGGAGGAAGGAGGGGAAGACGUCAGGUCAGUAUUGCCCUUACACCUGGGGCUACAAACACGCUACAAUGGCCGGUACAAAGGGCUGCCAACCCGCAAGGGGAGCAAAUCCCAUCAAAGCCGGUCUCAGUUCGGAUUGCAGGCUGAAACUCGCCUGCAUGAAGCU
rnacentral:rRNA from 1 species